AUUCCAGCUCCAAUAGCGUAUAUUUAAGUUGUUGCAGUUAAAAAGCUCGUAGUUGGAUUUCGGGCGGCGUCGGCCGGUCCGCCGUUGCGGUGUGCACUGGCUGGUGCCGUCUUCUUGUCGAGGACGCGGUUCUGGCCUUCGUUGGCUAGGGCGCGGAGUCGGCGCGGUUACUUUGAAAAAUUAGAGUGUUCAAAGCGGGCUAACGCUUGAAUAUAUUAGCAUGGAAUAACACUAUAGGACUCCGAUCCUAUUUUGUUGGUCUUCGGGACUGGAGUAAUGAUUAAGAGGAACAGUUGGGGGCAUUCGUAUUUCAUUGUCAGAGGUGAAAUUCUUGGAUUUAUGAAAGACGAACUUCUGCGAAAGCAUUUGCCAAGGAUGUUUUCAUCA
rnacentral:rRNA from 1 species